UAUUAGUGGUAUUUGUUUGAAUUAAAUUGGUCCUGUUAUAACGAAAACUAAAAGGUAAUGUUGUUUCUAAAAACCGUUCGAUUUUGGCACAUGUGCCAAAAUCGAAUGUUGCCAAAAUCGAAUGUUGCCAAAAUCGAAUGUUGCCAAAAACGAACGGGGUCUGUAUUUGAAAAAGGUAAUAAAAAAAAGUUUACUCACUAGGAUGUGGAGGGGACAAGCUGUUUAUUCGGAUUUCUUACUGGCCAAGUUGGGUUUGUUGGGUGAUGGUUGAGGUUGUUUCUUUCUGAGUUCAACUUCAGGUCUGGCACUUCGUUCCUCGGAUGAAUCUCGGUUUCGGUCUCUUUUAGGUAUUGAAGAAGCAGUACUAGUCUCUGACAGCAUGGUAUCAUCGGAAUCGGUCGAAAAUUUUUCGUCUUCUAUAUUUGGUUGGGGGGUUGUUUGUAGUUUGUUGAAUUGGGCGGUGAGUGUAGAAUCGGUCGAAAAAACUUCAUUUUCAAUACUUGGUUUGGGGUUUGUUUGUAGUUUGUUGAGUUAAGGUGAGUUUAGAGAUAAUGUUUUCCAAUUCUUUUAUUCGUUGAACUUUCGCGACAAAUUGAUUGAUGGUUCUGGCUGCUUCGCAUCUGGAACGGAACUCUUUCACAGCGGCACUCUGGGAGAUGCCGAGGUCAACACGAAUACGGACAAUAGCUUGUUCUUCCAUCUGUUUGGGACAGGUACGACUAGUAGCUGGAUGCGGUCCUCCACAAUUCAAGCAGAAUGGAUCAUUAGUACAUUUGGGAUGGGACUCAGCAACCCCGCACUGCAUACAAGCUUCAUUGUGUUCGCAGCGGGUUUUUGUAUGUCCGUAUUUGCCACAUUUGUAGCACAUCAGAGGUCGUGGGUAAUAGGGUCUGGUUUGUGCUUGGAUGUAUCCAAAAUAGACGUGAGUUGGAGCUGUGGUUCCUUUAACGGUCAGAACCAUAGUAUUUGUGAGCUCAUCCUUACCAUCAACCUUUUUGACAAAACGAUAAACACGAGUGACGCCUUGAUCUGCUAGUCCUUCUUGAAGCUCUUUGUCGUUCAUGCCAAAAAUUUCGCGGCACGACACGAUGCAUUGGGUGAAGUUGAGUGUUGGGUGCAGACAUAUUACUAUCGGGGAUCCAUCGAUCAGCUGGUUGCUCUUGAUCAAUUUUUCGGCUUGUUGGUGACUGCGAACCUUGAGAAGAUAGCUGCUUCCACCUUCGGUUGGUUUGGCAGAAUCUAUUUGUCCAACAGCUUGGUCCACUGUCUUGGCGAUAAUAAACGGGUUCGGGAGCUUGCCUACUGGUUUCAGGAUAAGAAACUGGGCGUCACCGUGAAUGCCUUUUGUUGCUUUGUCCUGGAGUGCCAUUUUGGCCACCCCAUGGUGGAUUUUUAUCCACCGACAUGGUGGUGCCUUGUCGGUGAGAGAACACUCGCGACGUAAUACUACGAAGCGCUAAUGAAAAGGAGACUGCAAAAAAUCACACGAAUUAGAUGUCCGUGUUAGUGAACAAUGCGUAGAAUGAAAAUUCAGUUGGAAAACGUAUCGAAUCGGAAUCACGUCUGAACACCGCAACGUUUCAGUGAGAACUGUGUCGCGAUGCCGAUUUGGUUUUCCUUUUUCAGAAUCGAAUCAGGCCAGCCACUUCUGUCACGAGCUUCUCCCAAACGAAAUUGUGAGCAGCGGGAACCCAAUCGACCCGUUUUGUUCGGUUCUGUCUCGACAAGCGCCUUUCCUCCACGGUCGACAGCUCUCCUCGUAUCGCCAGUAUCUUACCAGCCCGUCGCACGAUUUCGACCGGAGCCGAUGGGUGGCGUUGCCACAACCGGACACGACUGGAAUUCUCCUGCUCGGGCUAAUCUUGUACAGAUGAGAUCGUGCGCAAUGCGAACACAUGCAAAUCCAACUGCGUCACCGAACCGAAUGGGGCACCGGCCCCCGGUAAACAACUGUUCGAAGGCCUGCUGUCAAUCCCCGGUUGAAGCCAGUUCAACUUCGAUUAGUCGUUUCCUGUUUUUUUUAAAGUUUUGUGCCUUUCGCAAAUAUAACUCACCAGUAUGAAUAUGCUUCCCAGCCAGAGGGAUGGUUUUUGCCUCAGUUUCGUAGCCGCUCUUGUCAACAGCCUGGCAAAAUAAAAAUUUUCACUGCUGCUCACUAGUACGACAUGUGGCACACUCAGCGGAUAUGCUCGGCUUUGGCUCUUUUUUGCUUCUAGCUUGACUUUCUUUUGAUUUUGCGACUUUCUUUUCGUUUGGCAAUAUCAAGGUUGUGUUUGGUUUAUCCGCAGACACCAUCUGCACGGAAAAAAAUUGCAUGGGCUUUUCAAAUACAGAGUCAUGAUAAUUUUACUAUAUCCAUCAUUUAGUAUUUUCAACCAUGAUUUAGUAUUUUUUACCGAAAAUCUGGGCGAUAAUACUACGACAUAGUAUUUUUACUAUGCGAACUUUGACAGCUCAUAGUAAUUUUUUCAUAUCUUAAUUACCAUGCGCAUGAUAUUGUGAUAUUAAACAAUUCGUGUUCUUGAAAUUACUAUGCCCAUGGUAAUGUUGAAACAUCGUCAUUUGUGUUGUCAAAAAUACUAUGCGCAUUAUAAUUCAUAGUAAUUUUACUAUGUGCUUCGUUCGAGUGUUUGUUUUUUACGGGUCAGCCGUUCGCGAUUUCGGAACGCGAACAAAAAUUAUCGGAUUGUCGGUUUGUCGGAUCGGGAAAUGUAUUCCCUCAGAUUUCCCAGAUUGUGUCGUCGACCAGCUGGAAAGGGCCUCAACGAGCCUUUGAACCAACGCACCCGGAGCGGGACAGCAGAUUAGUCUGGUCGGAAAUUUUUCAGUGUCGACGAAUGCGCUCGAGUUCCUCAACCUCCCUCGAUUUCGGAUAUUGGACAACGUCGGAGGACAUUGUGACGAAAGCUGAUAACCGGUGAGCUGGCGCACUGUUUGCGGAACGCAAUUCCAGUACAUCUGCCGGGCCGUUAAAUGCAGGCUUUCAGACUAGCGUCUGAUGCAACCCCUGUGCCCCAUUCGUGGGUGGUGAAAACCAUGAAUUGAAGUAUAAAGAAUAAUAAUUUGAGUAAAUAAAAAUUUUAAUUUGUAACAAAUGAAUUUUAUUUCGAGGUCUUUAUACAAUGCCGCAUGGUAAUUUUGUGAUGUAUAUCAUGAUAGGGUACUCAUUUUAAUGUGGUAUUACGAUAAUGGAAAAUUGCAAUUUAACUAUGCUCGAAGUAAAAGAGCUCAUUCUAUCAUUGACAAUUUUACUAUGAACGUAGUCAAAAUUACUAUGCGCAGCCAAAAUUAACACAAAGUAAAAUUACUAUGUGCAUGGUAAUAUCAAGAAUAAAACAUUAUUGACUCAAAAAUAUGGUUGCGUGUUGUUCAUUUAAACCACGGAUCUAGUAAUUUUACUAUGCUUUUUUUGUGUGGGUGUCUGCGGUUUAUCUCAAUUGAUGCACCGAGCGAAAUGCACAGUAAGUUUUCUUGAGAUAUGACUGCUUAUUAUUAUUAGGUUGAAUAUGAUUUAUCCGAAUUGGUUUAAAUAAUCAGCAAAGAAACCAAGUAUAAUUGUUACACCUUUGAAAUAAUCUUUUGGAUUUUACGAGUCUAAUGUAAGGUUUCAAAGUUAGUAAUAUGUUCUUGAGGUUUCUCGCACUAUAUAAAAAAAGACGUGUUGUUGGUUGGCUGGUCCACAGGAAAAGAGGACGAACUUGUUUUAUUUGCUUUUAUCAUCAACACUCAAUUUGUAGUUCAAUGUUCUGAUAUUGGUAUCACUGGAUAUUAGGCACUUGACCUUACACUCGAUCAAUAAAGGUUUUAUAUUUUUUCAUUUCCACUUUAAAAUUCAUUUCAGUUAGGACACGAACAAAUUCAAAGAUAGCAUUUUACCAGAAUCAAUUA